CAUAUACAAGUCACCUCCACCACCUAUUCAUUCACCGCCUCCUCCUUACUUAUAUAAGUCCCCUCCUUCACCGGUCCACUCUCCUCCUCCUCCUUCUCCUUAUGUUUACAAGUCCCCACCACCUCCAAAACAUUCACCACCACCUCUUUAUGUAUACAAGUCUCCACCACCACCAGUACAUUCACCACCUCCUCCUUAUCUAUACAAGUCCCCUCCACCACCAGUCCAUUCUCCUCCUUCUCCUUAUGUCUAUAAGUCCCCACCGCCUCCAAAACACUCACCACCACCUCCUUAUGUAUACAAGUCUCCACCACCACCACCUAUUUAUUCACCACCUCCUCCUUACCUAUACAAGUCUCCACCACCACCAAUACAUUCACCACAU
rnacentral:lncRNA from 1 species